UAGAUUUUUCAAACUUACAGUGCUUCACUUUCUGUAUAGUCCUUCCAGAAAAAACGCAAGCUAUUUUAAAUAUAGAACUAUUACCUAGUACUGAAACCAUCUCCUGAAACCAGUCUUGCUUACUUUUGCUUCGUGUGCCGCAUAUUUUCUUCUAAUGCAGCUGAUUCUUCGGUUAUUUGGGGUGUAAUGUUUUGGAACUGCUAAGGGAGAACUUUUUAAAUCCUAGGAAGGUUGUCUCUAUAUGAAUUAUAGGUGAGGUUUUUUUAUGUUAUUUUGAACUGAAUGUUUUUUAACCUAUGACCAGGUGGACUAAGACACCCAGGAAACUUCAAGGAAGAAAGGAUCCCAAACAAGUCUUAAAGACCCAGUUAGGGUGUACUGUAGGGUACGCCUAUUGAGCCUUCCUGAUCAAGAGUGCUGUGUAGAAGCGAUCAAUAACAUAACUGUUCAGCUUCAUACUCCUGAGGGUUACAGACUCAACCAAAAUGGACACUGAGGAGGCCAGAAAAAGAGAUGUAUUGCUAACACACAUUUGAAUCGUGAGUCUAGCCAUUCUCAUAGCAUGUUCAACAUUAAAUUAGUUUAGGCUCCCCUGGAUGCAGAUGGAGACAGUGUCUUACAGGAAAAGGAACAAAUCACUGUAAGUCAGUUGUCCCUGGUAGAUCUUGCUAGAAGUGAAAGAAUGAACUGGAGAAAAGCAGAAGGGAACAGAUUAUGUGAAGCUGGUGAGCACAGCAUAGUACUGGUUUAUUGCUACAACUUCCAAAAACUUGAAAUGUCAGUCUGUCACCUGCUUAUUGAUAGGUGGUUUAAGCAUAAUUGUCUUCAAUUUUGAUAAUCUGGAGGCUAAGUU